rnacentral:rRNA from 1 species
UAGGGUGCGAGCGUUAAUCGGAAUUACGGGGCGUAAAGCGUGUGCAGGCGGCUUGCCAAGUCAGAUGUGAAAGCCCCGGGCUCAACCCGGGAACUGCGUUUGAAACUGGCAGGCUAGAGUUUGGCAGAGGGGGGUGGAAUUCCACGUGUAGCAGUGAAAUGCGUAGAGAUGUGGAGGAACACCGAUGGCGAAGGCAGCCCCCUGGGCCAAAACUGACGCUCAGGCACGAAAGCGUGGGGAGCAAACAGG